CCUACGGGGGGCAGCAGUGAGGAAUAUUGGUCAAUGGACGAGAGUCUGAACCAGCCAAGUAGCGUGAAGGAUGACUGCCCUAUGGGUUGUAAACUUCUUUUAUAUGGGAAUAAAAUGUUCCACGUGUGGGAUUUUGUAUGUACCAUAUGAAUAAGGAUCGGCUAACUCCGUGCCAGCAGCCGCGGUAAUACGGAGGAUCCGAGCGUUAUCCGGAUUUAUUGGGUUUAAAGGGAGCGUAGGUGGAUUGUUAAGUCAGUUGUGAAAGUUUGCGGCUCAACCGUAAAAUUGCAGUUGAAACUGGCAGUCUUGAGUACAGUAGAGGUGGGCGCAAUUCGUGGUGUAGCGGUGAAAUGCUUAGAUAUCACGAAGAACUCCGAUUGCGAAGGCAGUUCACUGGACUGCAACUGACACUGAGGCUCGAAAGUGUGGGUAUCAAACAGGAUUAGAUACCCGUGUAGUC
rnacentral:rRNA from 1 species